CCCUUAGAUGUUCGGGGCCGCACGCGCGCUACACUGAAGGAAUCAGCGCGUCUUUCUCCUUGUCCGAAAGGACUGGGUAACCCGCUGAACCUCCUUCGUGCUAGGGAUUGGGGCUUGUAAUUCUUCCCCAUGAACGAGGAAUUCCCAGUAAGCGCGAGUCAUAAGCUCGCGUUGAUUACGUCCCUGCCCUUUGUACACACCGCCCGUCGCUACUACCGAUUGGAUGGUUUAGUGAGAUCCUCGGAUUGGUCCCGGCGCGGCCUCUGGUCGUGCCGGAGUGCCGAAAAGAAUGUCGGACUUGAUCAUCUAGAGGAAGUAAAAGUCGUAACA
rnacentral:rRNA from 1 species